CAGAGUUGAAGAUCUUCAGAUCAUUAAGGUUUCUCUGUCAAAGGUAUUUUUUUCUCAAACAGAUCUGUGUUGUUUUUUGUUGUGGUUUGAGACAUCAUGAGUAGUGAAUUGAAGAUCAACUUUGAGAAGUUUGAUAGGAAGAAAAACUUCUCGAUGUGGAGGACAAAAGUUAAAGAUCUGUUGGUUCAGCAAGAGCUAGAUCUAACUUUAGAGGAAAAGUCAGAGGGGAUGAC
rnacentral:lncRNA from 1 species